GGAUUAAUUGUCUUACUUGUAUUCCAUCUUUUGCUUCAUUUCUUAUGAAAUAAUAACAAACAGUUUUGAUUAUGGAUCUAUUAUAAAAAAUUUAAUGCAUAAUUUUAACAAUUAAUUUAUAUUUUUGGAUAAUUUUAUUUUUUAAUUAUUCAACCAUUUUAUUUUAUUAAAUUUAAUGUUAGUCAGAGUUGUCCAUAUUUAUAUAUACU
rnacentral:misc_RNA from 1 species